GGUGAACGCUGGCGGCGUGCCUAAUACAUGCAAGUCGAACGAAACUUCUUUAUCACCGAGUGCUUGCACUUACCGAUAAAGAGUUGAGUGGCGAACGGGUGAGUAACACGUGGGCAACCUGCCCAAAAGAGGGGGAUAACACUUGGAAACAGGUGCUAAUACCGCAUAACCAUAGUUACCGCAUGGUAACUAUGUAAAAGGUGGCUAUACUACCGCUUUUGGAUGGGCCCGCGGCGCAUUAGCUAGUUGGUAGGGUAAAGGCUUACCAAGGCAAUGAUGCGUAGCCGAAUUGAGAGGUUGAUCGGCCACAUUGGGACUGAGACACGGCCCAAACUCCUACGGGAGGCAGCAGUAGGGAAUCUUCCACAAUGGGCGAAAGCCUGAUGGAGCAACGCUGCGUGGGUGAAGAAGGUCUUCGGAUCGUAAAACCCUGUUGUUAGAGAAGAAAGUGCGUGAGAGUAACUGUUCACGUUUCGACGGUAUCUAACCAGAAAGCCACUGCUAACUACGUG
rnacentral:rRNA from 1 species